UGAGGAAUAUUGGUCAAUGGGCGCAAGCCUGAACCAGCCAUGCCGCGUGCAGGAAGAAUGCCCUAUGGGUUGUAAACUGCUUUUAUUUGGGAAUAAACCUCUUUACGUGUAGAGAGCUGAAGGUACCAAAUGAAUAAGCACCGGCUAACUCCGUGCCAGCAGCCGCGGUAAUACGGAGGGUGCAAGCGUUAUCCGGAAUCAUUGGGUUUAAAGGGUCCGCAGGCGGAUUUAUAAGUCAGUGGUGAAAUCCUAUCGCUUAACGAUAGAACUGCCAUUGAUACUGUAAGUCUUGAAUUCGGUCGGAGUGGGCGGAAUGUGUAGUGUAGCGGUGAAAUGCAUAGAUAUUACACAGAACACCGAUAGCGAAGGCAGCUCACUAGGCCUGAAUUGACGCUCAGGGACGAAAGCGUGGGGAUCAAACA
rnacentral:rRNA from 1 species